rnacentral:lncRNA from 1 species
UUUUACAUUUACUAACAGUUAAAGUAACUGAGCUCUGGUCUAUUUUAGAUCUUUAAGACUCUAAUGGAUGCCAAAGAUCAACUAGAGAGGAGAUAUAUUACAAAGAAAGAAGAGCAUCGAGCCCUUGAAAUGCAAAACUACUUAGGGUUAGCCAAAAACACUGGAAAUUUUGAUCCUGAAAGACAGGUGGAAGGAGAGAUUUUCAGGAUAGGGAUGAUCUUGGAGGACAUUAAAGAGCAGAUGGAUAAAAACGCACACAGUCGGCUCUCCUCAGCCACGUGCUCUUCUAGCCCUUCGCCAUUACUGCUUUCGGACCCCAUCACCCCAUCGCGGCAUUCAUUCCCCAAGAAGUGUCAUUCUCCAGGCAAGGCUGAGGGGGGGGGCAGCUCAGUGUGUGGAGCUAUUGGACCUUCUGAGAACAGACCACCCAUUCAUGCAGGUUCUUUAAAACAUUGUGCUGGUCACAGGUAUGUCCAUAUCAGAUUUGUAUUUUGUCCUCUGCUGCUUCACAUACUGUUCGCAUAACAUUUGCAACAGAAAUAUUUAUAACUUUUUAUAAGAAAAUAGCUUUUUGAGCCUUAAAAUGUCUCACUGGUGACUAACUAGAGAAGAAAAGAGUGAGGGGGUGUACGUUUUUUUUCACCAGUGGAAGCAUGCUGGUGGACGUUGAAAGCAGAGAGUGUUGGGGGUUAUCAGUUUUCGAGGAUGUAGGUUUUUCCAGGCUCUCACUAUCUCCCAGGCUGUUGUCUGUGUUGCCCCAGGCAUUCAGAUGCAUCUUCAGAUAGGCUGGCAUUCAGCCCCAGCGAGGAGAAGGAGGAAGAGCCAUUUGAGGAUCUUUUUGGCAAAUGUACACUUCACACAUCAUCUGCUGCUUCAUCACAGAAAGAACAAAGGAAAUCUGAGAGGCUGGUAUUUCUAGGGCAGUUUGUAGAAUUUCCCAACAUGUUUACACUACGUUUCAGUGCUGGAUUUCAAAUGUAGGUUCUACAAAAAGCCAAUUAAUAAACACUCUAGAUCAAACA